rnacentral:rRNA from 1 species
UGCAGUCGAGCGGAACGAGUUAUCUGAACCUUCGGGGGACGAUAACGGCGUCGAGCGGCGGACGGGUGAGUAAUGCCUAGGAAAUUGCCCUGAUGUGGGGGAUAACCAUUGGAAACGAUGGCUAAUACCGCAUGAUGCCUACGGGCCAAAGAGGGGGACCUUCGGGCCUCUCGCGUCAGGAUAUGCCUAGGUGGGAUUAGCUAGUUGGUGAGGUAAGGGCUCACCAAGGCGACGAUCCCUAGCUGGUCUGAGAGGAUGAUCAGCCACACUGGAACUGAGACACGGUCCAGACUCCUACGGGAGGCAGCAGUGGGGAAUAUUGCACAAUGGGCGCAAGCCUGAUGCAGCCAUGCCGCGUGUGUGAAGAAGGCCUUCGGGUUGUAAAGCACUUUCAGUCGUGAGGAAGGUAGUGUAGUUAAUAGCUGCAUUAUUUGACGUUAGCGACAGAAGAAGCACCGGCUAACUCCGUGCCAGCAGCCGCGGUAAUACGGAGGGUGCGAGCGUUAAUCGGAAUUACUGGGCGUAAAGCGCAUGCAGGUGGUUUGUUAAGUCAGAUGUGAAAGCCCGGGGCUCAACCUCGGAAUUGCAUUUGAAACUGGCAGACUAGAGUACUGUAGA